CCUACGGGGGGCAGCAGUGGGGAAUAUUGCGCAAUGGGCGAAAGCCUGACGCAGCGACGCCGCGUGAGGGAUGAAGGUCUUCGGAUCGUAAACCUCUGUCAGCAGGGAAGAACGGUCACUGUGCUAAUCAGCAGUGAAUUGACGGUACCUGCAAAGGAAGCAGCGGCUAACUCCGUGCCAGCAGCCGGGGUAAUACGGAGGGUGCGGGCGGUAAUCGGAAAUAAUGGGCGUAAAGGGCUUGUUGGCGGUAUGUGAAGGCAAGGGUGAAAUCCCCGCGCUCAACGUGGGAACUGCCUUUGAAACUGGCAAACUAGAGUGUGUCAGAGGAUAGUGGAAUUCCAGGUGUAGGAGUAAAAUCCGUAGAUAUCUGGAAGAACAUCAGUGGCGAAGGCGACUAUCUGGCACAUAACUGACGCUGAGGAGCGAAAGCGUGGGUAGCAAACAGGAUUAGAUACCCGAGUAGUC
rnacentral:rRNA from 1 species